rnacentral:rRNA from 1 species
GACAGAGGAUGCAAGCGUUAUCCGGAAUGAUUGGGCGUAAAGCGUCUGUAGGUGGCUUUUUAAGUCCGCCGUCAAAUCCCAGGGCUCAACCCUGGACAGGCGGUGGAAACUACCAAGCUGGAGUACGGUAGGGGCAGAGGGAAUUCCUGGUGUAGCGGUGAAAUGCGCAGAUAUCAGGAAGAACACCCGUGGCUAAGGCGGCUCUCUAGUACGGUACUGACGCUGAGACGCGAAAGCGUGGGGAGCGAACAGG